GGAGCUUCGCUCUGAUGAAGCGCGAAAAGGAAUAGCAUCGGAAAAAUGCAUCGCUGCAAUAAUCAUGGCACUGCAUGUUCACAUUGUCUGCUGUCAAAAGUGCGCUCCACUCUCCAUUGAGCAUCAGAUAGUCAUACUACAAACGAAGGCAUGUAAAGCGUGCGCAGCAUGGGUCAUGGGAUUCCCGCAUGCUUUACUGACUACUGUGAAAUGCUGCAGGAUGAAGUGGCGGGACACAUUCCGCAGGGUUUUGAAAGCCCGAAACCAAAUAUUAAGGAGUGGUGCGCCUGCAGAGGACAACCUCGACGCCAAGGAGUGGAUUUCUUUUGUGCGGCUCCUCUUUCUGAAGGAUACAAUAUCGUAGGAGGGCCGCACUGCAUCAUACUAUUAGCUCUUGUGGACCACUGCUACCAUUUUUAGUACGUUGAUCUGGGGAGACCAGGAAGGUGCCAUGGUGCCAGUGUUUAUGCACAUUCAGGGUUGAGCACUCUCGUUGAAGAAUACUACUCUUUCUCUCCUAAAAAAAGAAAUCCACUUGCAAGAACAUUUUUUGACAUGCAUCACGCAAUCCUUGGUUGUUUGAGCUUGUGCAUUAAUGCACGUGCUUGUAGCUGGCUUUGCCAUCAUGAAGGGAGUUUUGAAGCGUCAAUGAAAUAAACGGGAGAACUUCAACUGUAUCGCUGCAACACAUUGAAUACAUGACCUUGCCUUCUAAGUAAGCAUCAGUUGC